GGUAUGAAAAGUUUUGGUCUUAAGUGACGCUUAUUAGUCCCACAAUGGGGGACAUCCUUCUGCACACGGCCUCGUCUAUAAAGAACCCUCUGCACUCCAGUCCAGAGCUCACAGGUGAGGUGAUACAGAAAGAAGAAUGAACGUCUGGAUGUCAGGUAUGCCAAACUGUCAGUGCUACUGCGGUGGCCUGGGACAGCAAGGAAUGAUGGUCCCAUAUAUACCUCAAAUGCAGAACGCACUACAAUACCAACCAACACAAUGCAACGCUAUGAUGCCACAAAUCAUCAGCAACUCUGAUGAUGAGGAGGAAUAUGUUUUUGAACACAAGAAGAAGGUCUUCGUACUUGUUAAGAAUGGAGUGCGGCGUUUCCGGUAUGUG